rnacentral:rRNA from 1 species
GACGAACGCUGGCGGCGUGCUUAACACAUGCAAGUCGAGCGGUAAGGCCCCUUCGGGGGUACACGAGCGGCGAACGGGUGAGUAACACGUGAGCAAUCUGCCCUUCACACGGGGAUAACUUCGGGAAACCGGAGCUAAUACCCGAUACGACCACCUCGGGCAUCCGCUGGUGGUUGAAAGCUCCGGCGGUGAAGGAUGAGCUGGCGGCCUAUCAGCUUGUUGGUGGGGUAACGGCCCGCCAAGGCGACGACGGGUGGCCGGCCUGAGAGGGUGACCGGCCACACUGGGACUGGGACACGGGCCGGACUGCUGCGGGGGGCAGCGGUGGGGAAUAUUGGACGAUGGGCGAAAGCCUGAUCCAGCAACGCCGCGUGAGGGAUGACGGCCUUCGGGUUGUAAACCUCUUUCAGCAGGGACGAAGCGCAAGUGACGGUACCUGCAGAAGAAGCACCGGCCAACUACGUGCCAGCCGCCGCGGUAAGAC